rnacentral:lncRNA from 1 species
CUGUUUUGUGUUUUGGGCCAUAUUCCAUUUAUGCUGCCUUCACGGAAUUAAUGGGAAUUAUUGUAAAAACAAGUUUCUUAGUAGGAAAUUGCACAAUUGCACAGCUGGGAAACACAAAAAUAACUUUGAGUGAUAGUUUUGAGUAAACUUAAAAUACUACGUGGGAGAGAUUAGCACUCUAAAUUUUUAAUUUAUUUAUUUUUUAUUCCCCACAACUUCUACAGUACAUAGCUUUCCCCUGAAGUAACCAUUAUAUAUAUAUAUUUACAUAUUCAAAUAACAAUAAUGCAUGUUGUACGUACUGAACACAGUGAAAGUAGGGCCUACCAUUUAGGCUAUUUGACCGAAAUUUGGAACCUGUCAGCAAGCUGAAUAUUAAUUUUGUGCAGUUAAAGUUUAUAUGGUAACUAUAAUAAUGGUAAUAAUGACUGUCUGUCAUUACAGCUUCAGGAUUCUCUCCAGAUGUUUUAGCAGGAGUAUAUGUUUGAUUUAUUGCUUUCUGUGUUGUUGUUGGUGUGGUUUUUAUGCUGGUGAUUGGAGGUGUAACUGCUUGUGUGAUUUACUGCUGCCACAGAAGAAUCACACGAGAAGAACAGAAUAACAUCAGGAUACAGUACACUAAUCGGGGGAUAUAGAAGAAAUGAUGUAGGGGAAUGAUGCUUAGUUGAUGACUUCUGCCUAAUCCAACCUCUCCUGUUCGCACUGAGAUAUCACUGUAACAUGUUUUAUUAUUUUGAUUCUUUAAAUGAUGUGCAGAUAAGAAACUAAAGAAGAGGAUGAAUGUCACAUUGCUAACAUGAAGAUAUUUUCAUCACAACACCAGAUUUCAGUAUUUCCUAAAAUGACUGAUAUAAUAGAACUGACUGUUGACACAAAUGCCUUGCCAAGAUGCAGGCGCUCUUCACAGAAUAUGUGCAUGAAUAUGCAAAAGAGUGUUUGAGGCAGCUAUCAAUGAAAUAACACACAGUUACUGAACUGAGAAAUGUUACAGCACACAAAUUUGUAAUGACGAUCAAUUUCACAUUUUUAUUUUUCCCCUAUAAUCUUCAUAUAUUUGUUCUGUAUGUUUUAUUGUGAGGUAUAAAAUUUGAAUACAGUAUUUUUGGACAUUUUUUGUUUUGUCUUUAAAGUGCCUUAACCCACAUAAAACACUAAAAAGGAGGGGAACUUUCAUCUGAUCCAGUAAAUACGAGUCAGUGGGAGUUUGUGCAGCAGUAAUUAUUUUUAAGUUUAACUAAGCUAAUAUUAAGUCAGGAUGUGAGUGUCCGUUGUGUGUCUACAUCUAAAGUGUGAUUUUAACAUUAAUGCACUAAACUUUACUCAUAUUUUUGGAAUAUUCUUGAUUAUGACACUAGAUGGCGCGCUAGACUACAGCAUAUGUACAGAUUUAUCCAGGUCCUGUUCAUGAAAUACCAGGAGGUUUAUAAUAAGCACAUGCUGUGUUAUGCAAAAAUGUACACAGUUUGUAAACAGCAGCAGUUAUUAUAGACCUAGUGAUUGCUAUCUCAGUAAAACAAGUAUUCUAUCAGAGGCCACUGUCCUCAAAAAAGGAAAUUGGAACAAUUCUGAAAAACAGUAGAUACCUGUAUGGAAACAACAUUUCAACACAAAAUCAGAUUUUUGAGAUUGAGGUGCUUUCACGCCACACUACAAAAAAAAAAAAAAAUAAAAACUUAAGUAAAAGUUUAUCAAUUUAACAACUUGAGUACAGAAACUUUAGUGAAUUAAAAUGUCAACACUUAAUUUCGAAAUGAAACACUUUUCCACCCAAUUAAAAAGUGUUUUUUAUAAAUACGCUAUUAGUCGUCUAGACUUAAGUCACAGUGUUGGAAAACAAUAUCAGAUUUCCAGAAU